rnacentral:rRNA from 1 species
AGUGAACGCUGGCGGUAGGCCUAACACAUGCAAGUCGAACGGCAGCACCGUAAGAGCUUGCUCUUACGGGUGGCGAGUGGCGGACGGGUGAGGUAUACAUCGGAAUCUACUUUUUCGUGGGGGCUAACGUAGGGAAACUUACGCUAAUACCGCAUACGACCUACGGGUGAAAGCCGGCGAUCUUCGGACCUUUUGCGAUUGAAUGAGCCGAUGUUGGAUUCGCUAGUUGGCGGGGUAAAGGCCCACCAAGGCGACGAUCGGUAGCUGGUCUGAGAGGAUGAGCAGCCACACUGGAACGGAGACACGGUCCAGACUCCUACGAGAGGCAGCAGUGGGGAAUAUUGGACAAUGGGCGCAAGCCUGAUCCAUCCAUACCGCGUGGGUGAAGAAGGCCUUCGGGUUGUAAGGCCCUUUUGUUGGGAAAGAAAAGCAGCAGGUUAAUACCCCGCUGUUCUGACGGUACCCAAAGAAUAAGCACCGGCUAACUUCGUG